UCUUCCAAUUUGGUGCAGCGAGUGUUGCCGCCUGAAAGCCGAGUUUGGUUUCAAGCCAACCUGAACAACUGCUGUAUGAGGCGCUGUUUCUCAGGAGGAUCAGUGGGAAGGCGUCAGGUCAUGCAGAUGAUAGCAUCAAUUUCACAAUGCCCAGCCUUGGUGCCCUCCAUCAAGAGCAAGCCACUUGCGUUCGCCUUCAGGCAGAUGGUUGAUGUCUUCUAGGAAGCAGUUGGGAAGACUACAUUGAUGCAAGAUUCCAGCAACGCCAUGCGCUGCAUUUAUUGGUCAAGAUGCUCAGAGAAUGGAGUCCCUGCACCUCGUGGUGAAACGUGAACAUUUUUUUUCUUUUGGAAAGCUAAACGUCAUUUGCUGUAUCAAUUGCAUUCUUGCAGCUCAGAUGUGUACUAUAUUUUUUCUCAUUUUGAAUCAAUUAAUAUUCACUGUUCAGUAUAAAAAUGACGUACAGUGUGAAGGACAAGGACUGCGAGAGACGACAUACACUGCGCUGACUUCCAACAAUAUUUUAUUGCGUUGCCACAUCGUGUGUUUAUACACAAGAAGGGUCAUGCGCAGAAAAUGAAAGGCAGUCACAAGGGGUGUUCUAACAGCAAGUCAUUGUACUAAGAACAUGGUCACUUAAAAAAAAAUCACAAUUUCUAUCUGUGGAGAUACAAGACUUCACUACGGGUCAGCGUGAUAGAGGGGGCACUAAUGCACACACUACCCAUUUUUCUGGUGAAAUAAGCUUCAAUGAUGUACCGGGUGAGCUGUGUCUCGCUAGAACUUGCGUAUCUUCAAAGAGGGGCAUGCAGCGGCAGUCCCGGCAAUGAAUGCCCAAGUGGCCUUGAACAGUGUUAUGGACGCUAUAGUGCACUCAUAAACGAUCAUUUAGGCACCUGCCUGUCCGUCCAACAUAUUUGCUGCCUCAAAACGGGAAUAUGGUAAACCACAUUCGUUGCACAUAUCGCAAAACGUUUUCUG